rnacentral:sRNA from 1 species
GCCAGGUGUGGUGGUGCACACCUGUAAUCCCAGUGACUCUGGAGGCUGAGGAAGGAAGAUUGCAAAUUUGAGACGGGCCACAGGUGCAGUGGCGACUUGGGAGGCUGAGGUAGGAGGAUGACAAGGGAUAACAAGUUCAAGACUAGCCUUAGCAAUUUAGUGAGGCCCUAAGCAACUUAGUGAGACCCUCCCUGUC